rnacentral:lncRNA from 1 species
CAUGGGCAAGCCCGUCUCCACUGGCGGGACCUACACUGGAUAUUCUCCUGCAGAUAUGCUGACGGCUGGCACUACAUGCUACAACACAAUGGAGGACUGCUUCUGUACCGUAGACGAGGACAACUGGGUGAUGGUAGACCUGCAGGCCAGUCUGCCCGUCAGGACGGUGGUUCUCACAGGACCAGCCUUCGGCGAUGUCCUAUACUUCAGGAACGUUGUUGUCCGGGCAGGUAACACCGGCGGGGCCACAGAUCCAAUCAUCGGCAAAACUCCGAGCACCGCG